GACGAACGCUGGCGGCGUGCCUAAUACAUGCAAGUCGAACGAGAGCGACCGGUGCUUGCACUGGUCAAUCUAGUGGCGAACGGGUGAGUAACACGUGGGUAACCUGCCCAUCAGAGGGGGAUAACAUCCGGAAACGGAUGCUAAAACCGCAUAGGUCUUCGAACCGCAUGGUUUGAAGAGGAAAAGAGGCGCAAGCUUCUGCUGAUGGAUGGACCCGCGGUGCAUUAGCUAGUUGGUGAGGUAACGGCUCACCAAGGCCGUGAUGCAUAGCCGACCUGAGAGGGUGAUCGGCCACAUUGGGACUGAGACACGGCCCAAACUCCUACGGGAGGCAGCAGUAGGGAAUGUUCCGCAAUGGACGCAAGUCGGACGGAGCAACGCCGCGUGAGUGAAGAAGGUUUUCGGAUCGUAAAACUCUGUUGUUAGGGAAGAACAAGUGCUAGAGUAACUGUUAGCGCCUUGACGGUAUCUAACCAGAAAGCCACGGCUAACUACGUG
rnacentral:rRNA from 1 species